CAGUCGCCACGGGAAUACGAACCGUCCGAACGUUAUUCGGAAUUACUGGGCUUAAAGCGCGUGUAGGCGGCUGGGCACGUCCGGUGCUGAAAUCCCCCGGCUUAACCGGGGAAGUGGCACGGAUACGGCCUGGCUGGAGGGAGGUAGGGGUGUCUGGAACUUCGGGUGGAGCGGUGAAAUGCGUUGAGAUUCGAAGGAACGCCCGUGGCGAAAGCGAGGCCCUGGACCUUUUCUGACGCUGAGACGCGAAAGCCAGGGGAGUGAACGGGAUUAGAUACCCCAGUAGUCCCUGUCUCUUAUA
rnacentral:rRNA from 1 species